rnacentral:lncRNA from 1 species
CACGGGCAUGAGUAAUGGGAGUCUCUUUUCUUUUCUUCCCAUUCAAGAACAAGCCAGGACAAGUGAUUCUGGAAAAGGGGAGGGGACUGGCGAGGGGGAGAGGAUACUUACGCGGUGCAGAGGGCAGUGGGACCGAGCGUGGUUUUGCCGGCAGGGAGAGGAGAACACGCGCGCGCACACACGCGGCGGUGUCUUGCGGGUGAUGAAUGUGAUAAUUGGACCGGGGCCGGAUUCAAACAUUGAGAAGAAGAAGAAGAAGAAGAAGAAGAAGAAGAAGAAGAAGAAGAAGAAGAAGAAGAAGAAGAAAUAAUCAAGCCAGCCAGGCCAGAUCCAGGAGAGAGGCAAACGUGGGCGUGGAUUUCGGAAGAAAGAUGCUGAAGAUCCUGCCUGGACGGACACGCACACAAAAGCAUCCACUAUCCAGCACCACCAGCACCACCCUGAAGAAGGGAAGAGAAAGAAAGAAAAACCAACUCCAGGGUGCAGGCCGGCCUGCUUCCGGCAGUCUAAAAGCAGACUGACCGCCAUUCUCUCCUUCCCCACCCCCCUAGCCCCGGUGCCCAGUGCGACGCCAAGCUCAACCUGGAUCUGUUCUGAAUGGGGGGGAAAGUGAAAUGCCACAAGAUCAGUAGCAAGUAGCAGCUGCAGCGUUUCUCUCCUGGGAACCCCACUGCUUAGAAGCCUCCCGAGUGAUGUUUGUUUAACCAACGGCUUUCAAAGUAAACAGAGGCGAAGCGCUCCAAAGAAGUUGAAAUAUAACCCUUACAAGAAUUUGGGGCCGGAGUGCUGGCGGAAAAAGUAAAAAAAAAAAAAUUUUUUUUUUUGUUUUAAAUAAUAAAGCUUCCAUCCCAAAUAAGAGCCCACCACAGUGCCUAAAGGAAACUAGAAGGGUCGUAAAAAUAUAAAUUUAU